AUUGAACGCUGGCGGCAUGCUUUACACAUGCAAGUCGAACGGUAACAGGUUAAGCUGACGAGUGGCGAACGGGUGAGUAAUGCAUCGGAACGUGCCCGAUCGUGGGGGAUAACGCAGCGAAAGCUGCGCUAAUACCGCAUACGAUCUGAGGAUGAAAGCGGGGGACCGUAAGGCCUCGCGCGAUCGGAGCGGCCGAUGUCAGAUUAGGUAGUUGGUGGGGUAAAGGCCUACCAAGCCGACGAUCUGUAGCUGGUCUGAGAGGACGACCAGCCACACUGGGACUGAGACCCGGCCCAGACUCCUACGGGAGGCAGCAGUGGGGAAUUUUGGACAAUGGGCGAAAGCCUGAUCCAGCAAUGCCGCGUGCAGGAAGAAGGCCUUCGGGUUGUAAACUGCUUUUGUACGGAGCGAAAAGGUCCUUUCUAAUACAAGGGGCUCAUGACGGUACCGUAAGAAUAAGCACCGGCUAACUACGUGCCAGCAGCCGCUGUAAUAC
rnacentral:rRNA from 1 species